rnacentral:piRNA from 1 species
UCACUGUAUGGCCCUGACUGACCUUGA